rnacentral:rRNA from 1 species
UUUUAUUUGAGAGUUUGAUCCUGGCUCAGGAUGAACGCUGGCGGCGUGCCUAACACAUGCAAGUUGAGCGAUUUACUUCGGUAAAGAGCGGCGGACGGGUGAGUAACGCGUGGGUAACCUACCCUGUACACACGGAUACCAUACCGAAAGGUAUGCUAAUACGGGAUAAUAUAUUUGAGAGGCAUCUCUU